UGGCAUGCCUUCAUAUUCUGCUGUUGAAAAAGAUGAUAGGCUGAAUCAAUUUUGCUGGAUUGUCCAACUCUUUCAAUGUUUCUACUCAUAUAAUAAUUGAAAAUCAUGGUAUCUUGGCUGGUGGAGUCUAGAUUGGUUAUGUUUCGGUUGUUUGUCAAGGAGAUUAUCACUGCAAAACUUAAAGAAUCUGAGGCCAAUGGCUUAAGAACUAAAGAAGUCCAAUUUCACAAGGUUGUGCAGCACAAAGAGCAUGCUGACUGUGAAUGAAAGCUUUCCAGGGCCGGUCAUUCGGAUUCAUAGAGGCAAUAAUGUGUAUGUGAAUGUGCAGAAUGAAGCAUGCAAAACAAGUGUUUGGUGCCUCAAGAGUCAUGCUGCUACUUCAAGCACAGGAAAACUGGAGCUAAUGAAGAGCUUGGGAACUGAUUUGGCGAUUGACUACCCUAAGGAGAAGUUUGAAGAUUUGGCAAAGAAAUUCGAUGUAGUUUACAAUGCAGUUGGUAUGGAAAAAGCCAAAUGAUGACCAUGAGCAUGGAGAUGCAUACCAGGCAGCAAAAGUGGAAUUUUUCAGAGUAUUUUCCUUGGUGAGAGAGGACUUGUUUUUAUAAUUAUUUGUUGAAUUUUUGAACAUAUGAAGUUGAUAGCAUCUCAACUUUUCCUGGCAAAGCCAGAAGCUGGGAAGCUAAUUGCUGCCACCAUCACAUUUUUUAUAGCAUCUACAUCAAGUGUUAUGCUCAUAAGCCUUUUUUGUACUGGUGCCUAUGCUUUGCCUCUCAUGUUUCUUUUCAAUAAUAAAACAGACCUACUUAUGAAUGGUGUUGGCUCA